UGUUUUGAUGGUGAUUGUUUUUGCUUCAUUUUAAACACUGUAGGGUACUGCUCUGUUUUAGAUUGAGUAACACUUAUUAUCUUCUAGUUGACUGCGAGGUGACACUGACAUUGGUCUCUCAAAAUGACGAAGCUCCUGUUACAAGCCAGGAUGACCAAACAACACAAAGUGAAGAUGACGAUUUGGACAGCACCCAAAUGGCACCUGUGGGAAGUGGCUCAGACACCGAGACACAGAAAGAUACUCCAAGCAAGAUAACCAUGAACAA